CUACGGGGGGCUGCAGUGAGGAAUAUUGCACAAUGGAGGAAACUCUGAUGCAGCAACGCCGCGUGGAGGAUGACGCAUUUCGGUGUGUAAACUCCUUUUAUAUGUCAAGAAAAUGACGGUAGCAUAUGAAUAAGCUCCGGCUAACUCCGUGCCAGCAGCCGCGGUAAUACGGAGGGAGCAAGCGUUACUCGGAAUCACUGGGCGUAAAGGACGCGUAGGCGGGAUAGAAAGUCAGGUGUGAAAUCCUAUGGCUCAACCAUAGAACUGCACUUGAAACUUCUAACCUAGAGUAUGGGAGGGGAAGAUGGAAUUAGUGGUGUAGGGGUAAAAUCCGUAGAUAUCACUAGGAAUACCAAAAGCGAAGGCGAUCUUCUGGAACAAUACUGACGCUAAGGCGUGAAAGCGUGGGGAGCAAACAGGAUUAGAUACCCCGGUAGUC
rnacentral:rRNA from 1 species